ensembl:lncRNA
AAAUGACAGGAGGGAGAGCACAGGCCUCAGCUAGCCCAGAUGCUGAGGUAAUGUUGAUGCCUCCCCAGGGACAGGAGAGCAGUGGCGCCUCAGGGAAGUCUCGUGUGGAAGGUUCCAUUCUAGGCCCUGGUGUGAGAGGCAUGAGGUGAUGUCUAGGAGACAGUGCCUUCCAGAUCCUUUGGCGGAGGGCUGGCUUGUGAGGUCUUCAGUUACCAACUCAUUAGGAGCCAGGUUCUCUAACAGUCUUGGUCCCUGUGUGCCUGGUUUGGGCUGAGCCUGUCAUCUGGUUCUCCAAAUUCCCACCACUCCUCACCAGUCUGUCUCCAUCCAGGCCCCAGUUCAGGCUGUGCCUCCCUGCUCACCACCCUCAGUGAACUCACCUCUCCAUUUUCACGCUGGCUCUCAGUGUUCUCCUUGCCUCUCUUCUGGCUGCUUCUGGACCUAUCUGUUCUGGUGACUCAGCCAAGCACUCUGUCUACUUUGCUGGACCAGGCUGUUCUCCCUGACUGGUCUCCCACCAGUUCCUCACCUUCAGUUUCUCCGUCCUCUCUGCACCCCUACUCCCCCUCCCUCCUCACCCUCACACCCUCUCCUGCUCUCUUCCUCUCCUCCCACCUGGGCUGUCCUCACAGCACUCCCAUGCUCAUAGUGCAGGAUCUCCCAAGCCCUUCUCAGUUUACUGUGAGCCGUCUGCCUCCACUCCUCCUCAGGCCACCAUUAACAAAAAUAAAGUCUGCAUACAAAGCAAGGGUUCCCUUAUGACACUUGCACACAUAUAUACAUUUAUACUUUGAUUUUACUGUUCCGCUGCUUUCAGCCAAGGUCAGUCAGUCUUAGAGCAGCGGGUGCAUCCAGCUUACACAGUGGGUCUGGACUCACCCCAGUGGGUUUACAUAAGCACGUUCAGGCUCUGAUUCAAAGGGCAAGGUAUGACGAGCAGAAAUGCAGAUGCUGCUGCUUAUGGAUGCUGGUUUGAAACCUGUGCCCUCUUCCACAGUUUGGUGUUGCCGUGGUUACUGCCAAGGGUACCUUUUUUUUUUUUUUUUUUUUUUUUUUUUUGGCCUUGUCCCUUCUUUGACUUCUGGGUUUUCAGAGUCUUCAUGUUAGAGAUCCAUCCUACAGUUUAGAAGUAAGUUUUCUUUUCUUUUUAUUCCCCAGAAGUAAUGACUGUGGCUCAAAAUGAUUUUUCCUGGUCCAUCAACAUCUUUCUAGUUACUGUUUUUGUUUAAAGCCAUGGUAACAUAAUUGAAUUACUUUUGGGAGUAGCCAUUUCAUAGAACUUUAAAAAGCACUGAGCCAAAUCUGUUUGACAGAGCACUUCACAAUGCUGGGUUAAAUCUUCUUUGACAAAUGUUUUAAUUGCUGAAAGCUGAGCCUUGGAGAGGCAUUGGCUGGAGUCCUGCUGUAGAGCUUGGGAACAGGAGGUAUUGGCGGUCAGGCUUUGUCUGGGACUCCCCCAGGUCCCCAUCUUUCUGUGCUGCUGUGUCUUCAAGCCUGUGGGGACAUGAUUUUCCUCAGAACUCACAGCAAAAUUUAGUGAGAACAUGCAGCCAUGAGCUCUAAAUGAUGCGUGCGGUGUGCCAUUCGUCUCCCAGUGCGAGCAUCACAUACAUCUGAGGACUGCAGCUCAGAGGGGGAAAGCCUACGCUUCCUAGAACAUCACCUUCAUCUCUGCUGUAAUGCCCCCGAUGAAUAAUGUAAAAGAAAAUCAGGCAAGUGUAAUUCUCACUUCUCCUCAAGGAAACUUCUCUUUGCAGUGGAGGCUAUUAUAGAAAAACACAACCAGUCAAAAUACAGCUAUAUCUACAACACAACUCCUCUACCUAAGGCUUAAGGACCAUUGUGGAAGAGACGAAAAGAUUUGCUGGUGAGAUUGUGUCCCCUAGAGAUGUCAGAAGCUAACCCAUGAAAUCUCGACAACAUGGCUCCCCAAACAAGGAUGACACCAACAGACAUGCAAAUUUUGAAGUAGAAAAGUUCAUGAGGCCUCAGCUUUGGACAAAGAACUACGGGUAACUAUGAACACUGAUUGAAAUAGUUUUCCCUGGGGAAGAGUCCACCAAUUGGUUAUCUAACAACAAACAGUCGGUCCUGAAACUUUUACAUACAAGUAACAUUGUACAGACUGAACAGGCUUUACUUACAUAUUUGGGAAUAAAUAAAUAUAAAUGCAUUAGCAAUUAGAGAAAAAGAGGCUAUGAAUUUGAA